CCGGAGGAGGGCGGCGCGGCCGGGCUGGGCGAGCUCCGCUCCUGGUGGGAAGUCCCGGCCAUCGCGCACUUCUGCUCGCUCUUUCGCACGGCGUUCCGCCUGCCCGACUUCGAGAUCGAGAGUCAUUUUGGAAGCCACAGAAUCACGUGCACAGUCAUUUCAGAGACAGUUACGUGUGACUCUCUGGAGAAGCCUACACCCCCAGAUGUAUACUGUUCUCUUCACAACUUGUUCCAUUACUCUCCCCCGCCACCACCCCUCUGCUGUUUUUUCUCACUAUCUCUCUCCCAGGCUUAAAUUGUAAGCAUACACUAUCUUUCAUAUCUACUCAAUAAACUUCCUAGCUUUGCUUUA